rnacentral:rRNA from 1 species
GCCACGGGUGAGGUAAACGCGUAUACCAAAUCUGCCUUGGUACUGGAGGGAUAGCCCCAGGAGAAAUUUGGAUUAAUACCCUCUAUAGUAUAUGGGAUUCUCUCAUGAGGAUCAUAUUUAAAGGUUACGGUACAAGAUGAGUAUGCGUUCUAUUAGCUAGAUGGUAAGGUAACGGCUUUACCAUGGNUACGAUAGAUAGGGGCCCUGAGAGGGGGAUCCCCCCACACUGGUACUGAGACACGGACCAGACUCCUACGGGAGGCAGCAGUGAGGAAUAUUGGACAAUGGGCGAGAGCCUGAUCCAGCCAUGCCGCGUGCAGGAUGACGGCCCUAUGGGUUGUAAACUGCUUUUAUACAGGAAGAAACACCCCGACGUGUCGGGACUUGACGGUACUGUAAGAAUAAGGAUCGGCUAACUCCGUGCCAGCAGCCGCGGUAAUACGGAGGAUCCAAGCGUUAUCCGGAAUCAUUGGGUUUAAAGGGUCCGUAGGUGGACAAUUAAGUCAGAGGUGAAAUCCUGCAGCUCAACUGUAGAAUUGCCUUUGAUACUGGUUGUCUUGAGUUAUUAUGAAGUAGUUAGAAUAUGUAGUGUAGCGGUGAAAUGCAUAGAUAUUACAUAGAAUACCAAUUGCGAAGGCAGAUUACUAAUAAUGAACUGACACUGAUGGACGAAAGCGUGGGGAGCGAACAGGAUUAGAUACCCUGGUAGUCCACGCCGUAAACGAUGGUUACUAGUUGUUCGGAUUUCGGUCUGAGUGACUAAGCGAAAGUGAUAAGUAACCCACCUGGGGAGUACGUUCGCAAGAAUGAAACUCAAAGGAAUUGACGGGGGCCCGCACAAGCGGUGGAGCAUGUGGUUUAAUUCGAUGAUACGCGAGGAACCUUACCAGGGCUUAAAUGUAGAUUGACAGGUUUAGAGAUAGACUUUUCUUCGGACAAUUUACAAGGUGCUGCAUGGUUGUCGUCAGCUCGUGCCGUGAGGUGUCAGGUUAAGUCCUAUAACGAGCGCAACCCCUGUUGUUAGUUGCCAGCGAUUCAAGUCGGGAACUCUAACAAGACUGCCAGUGCAAACUGUGAGGAAGGUGGGGAUGACGUCAAAUCAUCACGGCCCUUACGUCCUGGGCUACACACGUGCUACAAUGGUAGGGACAGAGAGCANCCACUUCGCGAGAAAGGAGCGAAUCUAUAAACCCUAUCACAAGUUCGGAUCGGAGUCUGGCAACUCGACUCCCGNGAAGCUGGAAUCGCUAGUAAUCGCA